GGCAGAGUGGCGUAGCGGUACGCGUCGGUAUUAGAUUUGAUAGUCGCCGAACUGAAUAAAUCCGAGGUACCUCGUUCGAAUCGAGGCUUUGCCU